AAACUUGUGCUAAUACCGUAUGAUGACUUCGGUCCAAAGAUUUAUCGCCUGGAGAUGAGCCCGCGUAGGAUUAGCUAGUUGGUGGGGUAAAGGCCUACCAAGGCGACGAUCCUUAGCUGGUCUGAGAGGAUGAUCAGCCACACUGGGACUGAGACACGGCCCAGACUCCUACGGGAGGCAGCAGUGGGGAAUAUUGGACAAUGGGCGCAAGCCUGAUCCAGCAAUGCCGCGUGAGUGAAGAAGGCCUUCGGGUUGUAAAGCUCUUUUACCCGGGAUGAUAAUGACCGUACCGGGAGAAUAAGCCCCGGCUAACUCC
rnacentral:rRNA from 1 species